rnacentral:lncRNA from 1 species
AUGAGAGUUCUUUAUGAUAUGCUGAAGAGGAGUGUAAGGUAAAUAAUAAAGUAAUCAAGAAGUAGACAAGAGACACCCAGCUAGACUCUCCUUCCUUCUGGAGCCUGCCUCAGGGACAGCCAUGAAGCAUUUGGACAAUGGAGAGAAAGCAAGUGAAGCUGGAAGGAAUGGAUGAAGAAAACAUGACGGGAAAUGAAGAAAGGAGGAAUGCAAGCAAAAACAAGAACAGGAAUGAGGAAUAAAAAUAUGAGAAUAAGUGUGAGAAAACUAGACCAACGAGUGGAAGAACAAGAAGUCAUAUUUAAAAUUCAUUUUUAAAAGUGGAAUGAGUAUGGAAUAUUAUACAGUCAUCAAAAGGAAUGAAGUACUAACAGGUGCUACAACUCAGAUGAACUACUAAGUGAAAGAAGCAACACAAAGGACUAUAUAUUGUAUGAUUCCACGUACAUGAAAUAUCCAGAAUAGACAAACUCAGAGAAAGAAUGCAGACUAGUUGCUGCCAGGGGCUAGGGAGAGGGUGGAAUGGGGAGAAAGUGCUUGAUGGGUAAAAGGUUUUAUUUUGGAGUGAUGGAAAUGUUCUGGAACUAGACAGUGGUGCUGAUUGCACAGCAUUGUGAAUGUACUAAGUGCCACAGAAUUGCUCAUUUUAAAACGGUUAAUUUGGAAAUAAAAAGGAAAACGAAAAAGGUGGAAUAAGUAGCCUCAGGAUUUUUGAGUUCUCCGUCCCUAAAGUUGUUUGCUCCGGCAUAAACUGGAAGUUCACUCAUUAGACAUGCAGUGACAGCAGUAAUCAAGAUUGGAACAAAAUGAACCAAAGUUCC